rnacentral:rRNA from 1 species
CCUACGGGAGGCAGCAGUGAGGAAUAUUGGUCAAUGGACGAGAGUCUGAACCAGCCAAGUAGCGUGAAGGAUGACUGCCCUAUGGGUUGUAAACUUCUUUUAUAUGGGAAUAAAAUGUUCCACGUGUGGGAUUUUGUAUGUACCCUAUGAAUAAGGAUCGGCUAACUCCGUGCCAGCAGCCGCGGUAAUACGGAGGAUCCGAGCGUUAUCCGGAUUUAUUGGGUUUAAAGGGAGCGUAGGUGGAUUGUUAAGUCAGUUGUGAAAGUUUGCGGCUCAACCGUAAAAUUGCAGUUGAAACUGACAGUCUGGAGUACAGUAGAGGUGGGCGGAAUUCGUGGUGUAGCGGUGAAAUGCUUAGAUAUCACGAAGAACUCCGAUUGCGAAGGCAGCUCACUGGACUGCAACUGACACUGAGGCUCGAAAGUGUGGGUAUCAAACAGGAUUAGAUGCCCGUGUAGUC